GACGAACGCUGGCGGUGUGCUUAACACAUGCAAGUCGAGCGGUAAGGCUCCUUCGGGAGUACACGAGCGGCGAACGGGUGAGUAACACGUGAGCAAUCUGCCCUUCUCAUCGGAAUAACCAUUGGAAACGAUGGCUAAUGCCGAAUACGACUUCCUUUCGCAUGUCAGGAAGUGGAAAGCUCCGGCGGAGAAGGAUGAGCUCGCGGCCUAUCAGCUUGUUGGUGAGGUAAUGGCUCACCAAGGCGACGACGGGUAGCGGGCCUGAGAGGGUGACCGGCCACACUGGGACUGAGACACGGCCCAGACUCCUACGGGAGGCAGCAGUGGGGAAUAUUGGACAAUGGGCGAAAGCCUGAUCCAGCAACGCCGCGUGAGGGAUGACGGCCUUCGGGUUGUAAACCUCUUUCAGCAGGGACGAAGCGAAAGUGACGGUACCUGCAGAAGAAGGACCGGCCAACUACGUGCCAGCCGCCGCGGUAA
rnacentral:rRNA from 1 species